UGGGCAACGAAAACAAAAGCUGCCUUCUGGAGGAGUUUGCUGCGGGAGCACCGUGUGGAGCCGCCUUCCACCCGCCCCCUCUCACCUUGAGGAGCCCUGCCUCUCAGCUCGCAGUUCAGAUCCCCGCAGCGUGCUCUGUCUUCGUGAAAUCCUGCCGACUCUCACGGGUCCUCAAGGACACCAACCCCGACCGAAGGACCCAGCCUCCUUUUCUUGGACUACCCACUGGCCCCUAGAGGAGCUAGGCUGGCUGGAACCGGAACGAGACGACACGACCUGGAUGAAUGGAGUAUCCGGAGAAGGUUUUUGAAGACGUUUAGGAGGAAGGGUGAGUUUUCUGUUGAGAAACUCAAUCUGCCAUACAGUAGCGGCCCCAUCUGGGAUCUGUCACUGCUGACAGCACCACGGGGCACAGCCGUGAUCUUCUGCACAGCCUGCACUCCCCGAAAUACCCUCCCUAAUCAAAGGAUGUCUGCGCGCCAGUGGCUCAGCUGACCGCGCCGAGCAGCGGAGAGGCCUGCCGGUUCCUCCCCUCCGCCCCCUCCCCUGGCUCACAACCUCCCCC
rnacentral:lncRNA from 1 species